CUACGCUCUGAAAAUUUACGACAUUAUAGAAAAAGACAAUUAAGAAAAGGGAAGGAGAAUAUGAAUAAAAUACAUACUGUAUAUGUCAAUGUUCAAGAUUGUCAAGAAAUCUUUUAUCCUUAGAGUUAAUCGAAAGAAUAUAUUUAGACUAUUCAAAAUGCUAUCCUUCGACUAAUGUAAUUGAUUGUGAAGAAAAAGAAAUCUACCAACCUGUGAUACAUCGUGAUAUACAUAUAUAAUAUUCCUAUACAUGUAUACAUAUAUGUAUAUAUACAUGUUUUAUUGAUCUCUAUCUUGUCGAUAUAUGAGUAAGUAACUCUAUUACAAUAAAAUAUAUUCCCUCUUAUUAUAGAGCUUGAUCUUUUUAUUAUAUAUUUUUCGAUAAUAUUCAAAUUAUUAUCUUACAUCGAUUGGAGGUUUAAAAACGAUUUUGUUAUAUAGUUCAUUCUUAACCAAUUAAAAAGAAGAAAAACCGCAACAAUUUGUGAGAGUGAAUAGAAUGUUACACUGUGGGAAAUAAUAGUUAAAUAAUAUCUAUGUUGCUGAAGGAAGUUAUAUCAGCACGGUUUCCUUCCUGAUAAUCUUUUUCAAAUAUUCGCGCGUGGAUGAAUAAGGGAAAUUUGUGAGACAUUUGAAAAGCAUUCGAUCCAGGAUUUUAACACGGAAACAUUUACAGUACAAGAUUCACAUUUGCACGAAUGAUAUCUAAAAAUAGGUCGUUACUCGACGACUGGUACGCGACAGCAACAGCAUGGGGCUUCAUUAUUGAUAAGUCCUGAUAAAAGUUAAUAAAAGCGAUUUAAAUAGACAUACUUGAGAGGAUCCACUUAUGAUACUUGAAUUUCGAGUUCACCCAGUACAAGUGUUCGCUUUUAAGUUUAGCUCAUUUGGAUUUACAAAAAUUCCAUCGACAUUCUUUCUAUUACGAAUAGAUGUUACAGUUCUUUGACACCUUUAAUUUAUUAGUAGUUGAAUAUCAUACUAAUUAUAUUAUAUAGUACUGUAUGUUAUAUUAAUAGUAUCGUACUAUGUCAUACUAAUACUGUUAUAAUGUAUAAGCUGCAGAUGUUUAUGAAUUUAUAGAGAACUUGAAUAUAUAAAAAUAGAUAAAGUAAAACAAAACAUAUUAGGUGCUAUUUCAUUAGUUGUAUUCAUGCAAAUAUAAAUUUGCAUAAAUAUCUGUAUUGUAAUAAUAGAAUAUGAUUAAUGAUUUUUUUCA